GAUGAACGCUGGCGGCGUGCUUAACACAUGCAGGUCGAACGGAAAGGCCCAAGCUUGCUUGGGUACUCGAGCGGCGAACGGGUGAGUAACACGUGGGUGAUCUGCCCUGCACUUCGGGAUAAGCCUGGGAAACUGGGUCUAAUACCGGAUAGGACGAUGGUUUGGAUGCCAUUGUGGAAAGUUUUUUCGGUGUGGGAUGAGCUCGCGGCCUAUCAGCUUGUUGGUGGGGUAAUGGCCUACCAAGGCGUCGACGGGUAGCCGGCCUGAGAGGGUGUACGGCCACAUUGGGACUGAGAUACGGCCCAGACUCCUACGGGAGGCAGCAGUGGGGAAUAUUGCACAAUGGGCGCAAGCCUGAUGCAGCGACGCCGCGUGGGGGAUGACGGCCUUCGGGUUGUAAACUCCUUUCGCUAGGGACGAAGCGUUUUUGUGACGGUACCUGGAGAAGAAGCACCGGCUAACUACGUG
rnacentral:rRNA from 1 species